UAACCUACCCAUCAGAGGGGGAUAACACUUGGAAACAGGUGCUAAUACCGCAUAACAGUUUAUGCCGCAUGGCAUAAGAGUGAAAGGCGCUUUCGGGUGUCGCUGAUGGAUGGACCCGCGGUGCAUUAGCUAGUUGGUGAGGUAACGGCUCACCAAGGCCACGAUGCAUAGCCGACCUGAGAGGGUGAUCGGCCACACUGGGACUGAGACACGGUCCAG
rnacentral:rRNA from 1 species